CGGAUGCAACAGUGGUGAGACAGGGAGACAGUGGAGCAUAUCUGGCAUCACUUUAUCUGCCUUUCGACUCCGACACCGCCACCAACGUCGGAGCUGCAACGGCUGGUGAGAAAAGCAAAACAGACAGGAAACGAGGUGUUAAUAGGGUGCGAUGCGAACUCUCACCACAUUUCGUGGGGUAGCACCAACACUAAUAAGCGGGCCCAAGCCCUGGCAUGUGACGAUGUAUUCCGAAAAUCUGAUCGAAUCGAAAAUCUGAAACGGGAGACAUAGGACCACGAGCUCACUUAUGUAAAAUCGGUGCGGCAAGUGAUAGCAUGUGUAGGGCAUGCAGGGAAGAUGAUGAGACGUUGGAGCAUUUCCUUUGUCAUUGCCCGGCUUUCGCGUCCAACAGCUAGCAGUACUUAGGUGGAGACACAAUAUCAGACAUGAACCAACUCAAGGAAGUGGCAUUAAAAACAAUUAAGGAUUUUUUUUUAGAGCUCACAACAAGCCGAUUACUGGUUUAGGUGUAUGUCCAUAGUGGCAUGGGGCGGAUUAAUGUCUGCACACUCUUUUCAAUCUAACCUAAUCUAAGUUGAAGGUCACGGAUUUUGGAAGAACACAUAACAGAACACUGCGUGCAAAAUUCAGCCAAAUAGGAGAACAAUUGCCGCAUCGAGGGGCUCAAGAUGUCAAAACAGGAGAUCGUUUCGUAUGAGAGCUAUACCCAAGUCGAACCGAUAUGGUCCAUUGGCAAUCCUCAAAGACCUACAUCAAGAAUAAGUAUAUGUGCAAAACUUCAACCGCAUAUCGUUAUUCGUUCGACGGCUAUCGUGAUUUCGUCAAACGGUCGGACGAACGAACAUAGCUAGAUCGACUUUGAAUGUCAAGACGGUUCAGCAUAUAUAUACUUUAUGAGGAUCUGAAGGCCGAAUCUGAUAUCUUGAUUCCGCAGUCCAAAAACCUCAAAUCUUGUCUGUUUGAAUGUUAUGUCGAUUGGAUAAUAUGGGACACAAAUGAAUGGUUUAGGAAUGUAGAUUACCAAUUUGAUAAUAAUUUAUGAGCAGCCGCCCACCCUCAAAAAUCCCCCAAAUGGACAUAUAGACAACCCAGGGCGAUAUUGGUGUCAACAAUACCAAUUCCUUUAAUAUAUAAAAAUUAAUUUGCUAUGUGCUCGGUAUAGAUUCAAAAGCGGCAAAAAAUUAAUAUCCAAGGCAAAUAUAAUGGAAUGAAAUAAACAAACAAAUCUUGCAUUGAGUUCGGCUGGGCCGCACCUUAUAUACUCUCCAUCAAUGAUGGCAUUAGUCAAGCUCUUCAAAUGGCUUUUUUUUUUUAAAAAAAGACA